rnacentral:rRNA from 1 species
GACUAGAGUAGGGCGGGACACGUGAAAUCCUGUCUGAACAUGGGGGGACCACCCUCCAAGCCUAAAUACUCGUACAUGACCGAUAGCGAACUAAGUACCGUGAGGGAAAGGUGAAAAGAACCCUAAGUAAGGGAGUGAAAGAGAACCUGAAACCGUACGCCUACAAGCGGUCGGAGCACAUUUACUGUGUGACGGCGUGCCUUUUGCAUAAUGAGCCUACGAGUUACUGUUUCUAGCAAGGUUAAGUGUUUAAGACAUGGAGCCGUAGCGAAAGCGAGUCUGAAUAGGGCGUUUAGUUCGUUUGAGUAGACCCGAAACCGGGUGAUCUAGUCAUGCCCAGGGUGAAGGUCAGGUAACACUGACUGGAGGCCCGAACCCA